rnacentral:rRNA from 1 species
AGCUUGCUCCCGGAUGUUAGCGGCGGACGGGUGAGUAACACGUGGGUAACCUGCCUGUAAGACUGGGAUAACUCCGGGAAACCGGAGCUAAUACCGGAUAGUUCCUUGAACCGCAUGGUUCAAGGAUGAAAGACGGUUUCGGCUGUCACUUACAGAUGGACCCGCGGCGCAUUAGCUAGUUGGUGGGGUAAUGGCUCACCAAGGCGACGAUGCGUAGCCNACCUGAGAGGGUGAUCGGCCACACUGGNNACUGAGGCACGGCCCAGACUCCUACGGGAGGCAGCAGUAGGGAAUCUUCCGCAAUGGACGAAAGUCUGACAGAGCAACGCCGCGUGAGUGAUGAAGGUUUUCGGAUCGUAAAGCUCUGUUGAUAGGGAAGAACAAGUGCGAGAGUAACUGCUCGCACCUUUACGGUACCUAACCAGAAAGCCACGGCUAACUACGUGCCAGCAGCCGCGGUAAUACGUAGGUGGCAAGCGUUGUCCGGAAUUAUUGGGCGUAAAGGGCUCGCAGGCGGUUUCUUAAGUCUGAUGUGAAAGCCCCCGGCUCAACCGGGGAGGGUCAUUGGAAACUGGGAAACUUGAGUGCAGAAGAGGAGAGUGGAAUUCCACGUGUAGCGGUGAAAUGCGUAGAGAUGUGGAGGAACACCAGUGGCGAAGGCGACUCUCUGGUCUGUAACUGACGCUGAGGAGCGAAAGCGUGGGGAGCGAACAGGAUUAGAUACCCUGGUAGUCCACGCCGUAAACGAUGAGUGCUAAGUGUUAGGGGGUUUCCGCCCCUUAGUGCUGCAGCUAACGCAUUAAGCACUCCGCCUGGGGAGUACGGUCGCAAGACUGAAACUCAAAGGAAUUGACGGGGGCCCGCACAAACGAUGGAUCAUGUGGUUUAAUUCUAAACAACGCGAACAACCUUACCAGGUCUUGACGUCCUCUUAAAA